CGUGUAGGCGGAUUUUUAAGUCAGGUGUGAAAUCUUUGGGCUCAACCCAGAGUUUGCAUUUGAUACUGGAAGUCUUGAGUGCAGGAGAGGACAGUGGAAUUCCUAGUGUAGCGGUGAAAUGCGUAGAUAUUAGGAGGAACACCAGUGGCGAAGGCGACUGUCUGGACUGUAACUGACGCUGAGGCGCGAAAGCGUGGGGAGCAAACA
rnacentral:rRNA from 1 species